UAUACCAUAUACCACUCCGAGUUUUAGGAUCCGUCUCAUCUUACAUAUAUGAUUGUUUUGAUUGUUUUGAUUGUUCCACCGAAUGGAAAUGUAAUUUAAAAUGUUUUGUUGAAUUAAAGUAGUUUGAAUGACUACACAGCCAACUGACCAAAAUGUUUGCGAUUAAAACUGGAUUUCUUGGCAUCGGAUUGAUAUGCCACAAACCGACACUUUCUACAUGCGCUAGAGCCAUUCAUCACAAGUUCAAUCUCGGUCAGCCAAAUUACGACACGGAUUAUCUCCUCAAUCGGGCCAAUGUUGAUGCUAUCCAGUACAACAUCGAACACCGAAAGGGCGUUGGAAACAUCCAAUUGGUUCAUGAAUUAAGCGACAGACUAGGGGCGUUGAUCGCCAGCGAUGUGAACAAGCGCAAAGUUUUGAACGAUCAGUUGCAGGCAGAACUAAGGAAAAUCCCAAACCGAACCCACCCGGAAGUGCUAGGGUAUGGGGACAAACCUAGGCUUGUUCGAAAUUACGGCGAAAAGCCAACGUUCGAUGGUUCGAAAAUAUUUGAGUUCGCCGAGAUGGCGAAAAAGAUGAACAUUUUCCGGAUGGAAAAACUUGCCAACUUUACCGGUCAUAAAUCGUACUAUUUGACCGGAGAACUGGCAGAACUGGAACAAGCCCUCAUCCGGUACACCAUCACGAAGCUCCUGGCAAACAACUUCAAGCUCAUCACCGUUCCGGACAUUCUGCCAGCGCGAAUAAUUGAAAGUUGUGGCAUGAGCACACACGGCGAACGAAACCAGGUGUACAAGCUGAACUGCUCUCCCCAGCAGGAAACCCUCUGCCUUUCGGGCACCUCGGAAAUGGCUCUCGCCGGAUACUUUGCGGGGGCCCAAAUCAACGAGGCAGACCUCCCACUGAAGCUAACGGCCGUAAGCCGUUGCUUCCGAGCGGAGACAUCCGCUCUGCAAGAAGAGAAGGGAAUCUACAGAGUGCAUCAGUUCACCAAGGUGGAAAUGUUCUCCGUCUGUCGACCAGAUCAGUCCGAGGGUGUACUGGAAGAGUUUCGAGACAUCGAGGUGGGUUUGUUCGAUGCGUUCGGGUUUCACUUCCAGCUGCUAGACAUGCCAGCUUGUGAGCUGGGCGCAUCAGCGUAUCGCAAGUAUGACAUCGAGGCGUGGUUGCCGGGCAGGGAGAUGUACGGGGAAAUUUCGAGCUGUAGCGAUUGCACAGAUUAUCAAGCGAGGAGGCUGGGAAUUCGUUAUCGGAGCAAAGUGGAUGACCAACUCCACUAUGCCCACACGGUUAAUGGAACCGCUUGUGCAAUUCCUCGUAUGUUGAUAGCGCUGUUAGAGAAUUUCCAAAAUAAAGACCUCACAGUGACGAUACCGCAACCGCUGAGGCGGUUUAUGCGGGGGAAGGACACAAUCCGAAGGAAAAAACAAUUACCCGAGUUGAAGCUAACCAAGCGGUUAGCCCAGGAGGAAAUUUGUUGAAUGUUGGUUAGGAAUCUGUACAAUAACUAGUCGCGAAACUGUGGUUCCAGAAUGUAGAACACUCCUACGAAUGCAAUCUUUCGAUGGAGAGGCCACGUACUUCUCGGAAGGAGGAGAGAAAUAAAAAUAAAAGUGUAACAGAGCGUGAAAUAUUUGGGCAUUAUUGUCGUAGUACUCCAUCUGCUCCGUUCCGAACGAUAUAUGAAAGCUGUUCAAUAACUAUGCUGCGAAAUUCGUACAUUAGUAUAUGCGUAUAGGAACGCAAAUAAAUGUUAUGCUUCGGUUCGUCGAUCGUCUUCUGUAGGAAGUCAUUUAAUUGCGUUGCCAAAUGAAACGUAACGAAUACUCGACUACAGAAGACGCCAAAUGGGUGGUGUCUCUGGGUGCCCAGACUGUUCAGUGAAUUGUGGUGCACUAUCUCAAGAAAUGAUCUUUUCAUGAAGUCGAAGCAGCAGGUUUCUUGUAUGGGAAACUACCUAAUAAUGUAUCUUAGAAGGAUUAGUACUAGUAAGCUCUAAUACCUUAACCAACUACACUCAACCUGCGGCCCGCCGGGCUCUUCUGGUUGGCCUGCCUGGCCCGAUACUAUUUGUAUGUUUAGCUCUGAACGGUAUUUUGAUGGUUUGCAUUCCAACCGAGUCGGAAAUUCUAUGAAAUAUCCCGGUACAUUAUAUGUUACGGUUCCCAAACCAAUAACACUUAUUUUCCAACAAUAGGAUUACAAAUACUCUUAUUAAGUACCUUCUUGAAAACCGUAUUCAAAUUCAAUUGUUUUAUAAAUAUAUUGAAAGAAAAUCUCACGCUGAUUAAUUAUCACGAAAACCAUAUAAGAAAAGCAAUCAACAAAAUAGGUUCUGUACGCUUUAUUUUGAAAUUUAUGACUCUGCUCUUCAUAUCGAUUCGUACUGGUAUUAUUUCUGAACAUUUCCACUGAUUCAUUGCGCUGCUUUACCGUUUCAUGUAAAAGAUCAGUUCAUUUUUAUUGAGUGUAAAUGUACGGGGCGGAUUGGUCAUACCUGCUUGGGGCAGUAUGACCAGGAUGUUUUCAACAUAACCUGUAAAUACAGCUGUCACAAUUAGUAAACAUAGUUGAAAAUAGCUAGAUGUGGAUUCAUGGUGCGGAGUGAUACCAGAACAUCCGAUGGUAAAAAUUCACAGACCAGCUUGAACGCGGCAAUGGAAGCAGUGAAGAGUGUUACGUCAGUGCGACAUGCAGUCUUAGUACAUUGUGUCCCGCGAGAAACACUUUAACGUUAUUCACGUUGUUCAGAUCCUUUGCAGCUCCAACUGCUCGGAUCAUUCGAUGGUUUGAUGGUUGAUGGUGACACAAGGAUUCAAUCGAAUUGCAGUAGGGAAAUUCUGCGAUUUACUGGAGGGCGUAAAGCAAAAAUACGACAUUCCGCCAUUAAGGCAAUUAAACGUCGAUGAAACAUCAGUGAUUCCAGUAACUAUCUCUUAUCAAUAAGAGAAGCAACAAUGCAGGGAAAAAGGCAGUUGAGCGCUGGGUGCUUAACACGAAAUAACGAUCAUAGAAUCUUCCACCUGAUGUUGCUACUGUCGGCACAAUUCAGUUCCUCUGCGGGCGGCGAUGGAUCCAAUGCUAUCGAUGCCACUCGUGGGUACAGAACGGCACAGAUAUUGUCUGCUCCUGCUUUGAGUAACGAAAAAUUGCAGUCCAAUCACUUUGAUCACAUUGUUAUUUUUUAUACAUGCUUACUGAAUGAAUCCCAAUGAAAUAUACGCGAUAGUUGCAAAGUAGAAUAAACUUUC